ensembl:lncRNA
GGCGCCGAGGGGCUGCCGGAGGCGGAGGCGGAGAGGCGCGGGGCCGCCGCCACGGCCGCUCGGGAGGAAAAAUCCCUUCCAACGGUUUUCCCAGGGAGACUGGCUUCGUCGGCCCGGCCUCCCCGCGGUCCCUAGUCUAUCUGCCGGCCUCGGGGUCCCGGGCGGGUCUCCUUUCCCUCUUUCUCCUCCCUGCCCUCCCCACCUUGAGUCAAGCCCCGCCAGCCAGCGGGUAAGCGGGGUGUCUGUCUGCAAAGCGGCCCGGUCACCUGUCGUGGCAGCUGCAUGGAAAUCCCGGCGCUCCUGCUGUCUGGAGCCUGUGCGGUUUCCUCUGGCAAAUCACGGAGAUUCCGCUCCCAGCGCCAACCCUUCCUCUGCGCCCCUGCGCCCUCCUAACCCAGCUCCUGGUGCUGACGCGAAGUUUCAUCGUUUGGGGGCAAUUAGCAAGGAGGUCCCCACUACUUUCUGUGGAGGCACCGCUUGGUUGGGAAGGUCGGAUUCAGGAAGGUUUUGAAUGGCUCUUGUGACCAUGGAUAAGUGCUACUGGACAUUGAACCCAGGAUCUUGAGCAUGCUAUAAGUUAUUUUUUAUCAUGGAACAUCUUAACCACUAAAAAAAGUGAUUCCAUGAGAAGAAUGGGAUCCAACCCUACAUGGAUACUGAGGGAUGGAUGGACAUAUGUAUAGUCUGAGCACAGGACUGAGAUGCCAUCUUCUGCUGUUAUGUUGGCAAUUUAAACCCCAGUUAAAGCAAGUGAAUUCAGUAAAAUUUAAAAUCAACUACAGUAUGGUAUUACUGUGACUUCUGUUCCUUCUUUUUGUGAUUUUAACAUUUGACAUUUGAACAUCUGCCAGUGUGGGGUGAGUAAGGAUGAUAGUAAUUCCCAGGGCUGGGACACAUGAAGGGAAACAGAUUUACUCUGAGGUGCAGAAGAGGUCAAAAUUAAUGUUUUCAGUUUGAAGAGCUGUUGCUAGCUAUCUAGGAAAAAUGCAUAAGUAUUUGACCUAGCGUAUCUACAGGUAAUAGGAAUUUAUCCUCAGAAAUAAUAGGAAAAGUUAGUGUGCAUGCACAAACACACACGCCCGAAUGAGAAUAAAGGGAUUCUGAGAAUAGUUUUGCUGUCAGUUGACAUUCCACAGGAUUGAGAAGAGGUCACAGGGAGAGUUGGGAUGCAUUUAACUAAAGAAAGGAGAAAACAAGGAAAUGGACACCUACUGCCUGCUUAAAAGCAAAUGUGUUUUUCAGAAAUGUUGACUGAAUUACCAUUUAUCCAUCACAUUACUGUGAACAGAUGAACUUGGUGUAUUAAGAGUAGAAUUAAAACACAGUAGUCAACUGUGGUGGCUUACGCCUUUAAUCUCAGCACUUGGAGGUGGAGACAGGCAGAUCUCUAAGUUCAAAGGCAGCCUGAUCUACAUAUGGAAGUUCUAGGACAGCUAGGGCUACAUAGUAAGAAUCUGUGUCAAAAAAAAAAAAAAAAAAAAAAAAAAAGAAGAAGAUAAUAAUCUCUCUAGGAAGCCUUUGAGAGUAGUGGUGUAUUAUAGAUUAUGGUUUUGUAGUGUUCGAUACUAAGACUUUUUUGACCAGCACAAUUAGAGUCAAAAUGAAUAAGAGCUUUGAAGAUAAUAUGUGUUACCAUGUAAGAGAUUUCUCACUUAAAAAUUAUUCAGCUAUUCAAUUUACACUGUUAUGGACACAAAAGAAUUUGUAAACACUUUAUGGGAAGUAUUAUGUUGUUAAAUUACUAUUUCUUUUGGUAAUUUUCAUGUUAGAGCAUAUUUUGAAUUGGUGUAUUAGAGCCAUUGAGUUAAAAGUUUCUGUAGUAUUCUAUCUACCAAUGUCUAAGGCUGAGAAUUUGGCUUUUUCAAAGAAUAAUUGAAAUGUUUGACUCUUGUGUUUUCCUUGUUGGUCUAGCUACUUACUAAUUACAACAAUAGCUUCUAAAAACAGUUUUGCUCAGGGACAGAUGUGGUGGUGUAUGCUUAUAAUCUUUCCACAUGGGAGGCUGAGG